rnacentral:tRNA from 1 species
UUUUAAGUAGUUUAAAAAAAAUAAUAAUUUGUGGUGUUAUAGCUACUUUUAUUUUUAAGUC